AUGGGUCCCUGGUCCCAAGUUACCGGUCACUCGUGCGGGGGCCUUCGGCCCUGGCGCCCCCGGCGGCCGAUCGCACGGGUCGGGCCCCUCCCGCCGCGGGGCCUCUCGCCAGCCCCACGCCCCGCGGGUCACGACGGGCGCUCCCGGCUGCUGACGCCGCGGCCGCGCUGGCUGCAAAUCGAUCCGCGAUCUUUCUGCUCCAGCACCGCCGGCCCCGGGCCGAUGCGGGCGCAACGACGGCGGAGCUGCGCGGAGCGACCCGCGGGGCUGCUGACGGCGGAGAAAGCGGCCGCGGUCCGCGCCCCGGGCCUCCCCGCCCCCCCCGCGCCCCGGGCGGUCGCUGAGCCCCGGGCUGGGGACCAGCUCGAGGCCCCGCCCACCGCCGAGGCCCCGCCCCGCCGAGGCUCCGCCCACCGCCGAGGCCCCGCCCUACAGGACGGCCCACCCGGGCCGCGGAGCCUCCAGCCUCGUGCAGAGGAGAGGCCCAGCCUUCCCGCCGGCGGCUGCUCCCCAGGGGGCGUGACCAGAACCGGGGUCUCCCGACCCCUCCAGCCCUCGCCCUCCACCAGGGUUUUGCAGCCCGAGGCCUUCCUCCUGGUUCCUUCACACACGUGCUCCCGCCUUGUUGCGUUGACCUAUGAGACCGACGCACGAAAGAUCAGAGACCCGCACCGCGGAAACCUGAAACCCGCCUGUCCCCGCGGAAUCUGCAGCCGACCUCCUUGCCUGCCCCGCUUGCCAUCAGCUCCGACUUCAGGCAGCUUGCUCAGAGCCAUCCUCUGGCCUGCGGUCACCCUGGGGGACACCAGGAAACGUGCUGAUCGGGCUCCCACUGUAGGAGUGUCACGCAGCAGGCAUCCGCCCCGUGGACAGGAUGCUAACUGCAUCUCUGAUCCAGCGGGCUUGCCGCCCCAGCCCUGGCUCCUCAUCGGGCACUUGCCCUUUGAAGGCAGCCGGGCUGUGGCCGAGCUACACAGGUGCAUUCUGGGACCAGAGAGAAGCAGCAGAGUGAGCUCUCUGCGCAAUCCAAGGAAGAGGGGAGACGUGAAGGGCAUUGCUAUCCUCAGGUUAAGAACUAACAUUUAG
rnacentral:lncRNA from 12 species